rnacentral:rRNA from 1 species
AUUGAACGCUGGCGGCAUGCCUUACACAUGCAAGUCGAACGGUAACAGGUCUUCGGAUGCUGACGAGUGGCGAACGGGUGAGUAAUGCAUCGGAACGUGCCCAGUAGUGGGGGAUAGCCCGGCGAAAGCCGGGUUAAUACCGCAUACGACCUGAGGGUGAAAGGGGGGGAUCGCAAGACCUCUCGCUAUUGGAGCGGCCGAUGUCAGAUUAGCUAGUUGGUGGGGUAAAGGCCUACCAAGGCAACGAUCUGUAGUUGGUCUGAGAGGACGACCGGCCACACUGGGACUGAGACACGGCCCAGACUCCUACGGAAGGCAGCAGUGGGGAAUUUUGGACAAUGGGCGCAAGCCUGAUCCAGCAAUGCCGCGUGCAGGAAGAAGGCCUUCGGGUUGUAAACUGCUUUUGUCAGGGAAGAAAUCUUCUGGGUUAAUACCUCGGGAGGAUGACGGUACCUGAAGAAUAAGCACCGGCUAACUACGUGCCAGCAGCCGCAGUAAGAC